GGGAGGGGGGGCUAUACAUGCAAGUCGAGCGACAGACAAGGAGCUUGCUCCUUUGACGUUAGCGGCGGACGGGUGAGUAACACGUGGGUAACCUACCUAUAAGACUGGGAUAACUUCGGGAAACCGGAGCUAAUACCGGAUAAUAUUUCGAACCGCAUGGUUCGAUAGUGAAAGAUGGUUUUGCUAUCACUUAUAGAUGGACCCGCGCCGUAUUAGCUAGUUGGUAAGGUAACGGCUUACCAAGGCGACGAUACGUAGCCGACCUGAGAGGGUGAUCGGCCACACUGGAACUGAGACACGGUCCAGACUCCUACGGGAGGCAGCAGAAGGGAAUCUUCCGCAAUGGGCGAAAGCCUGACGGAGCAACGCCGCGUGAGUGAUGAAGGUCUUCGGAUCGUAAAACUCUGUUAUUAGGGAAGAACAUACGUGUAAGUAACUAUGCACGUCUUGACGGUACCUAAUCAGAAAGCCACGGCUAACUACGUGCCAGCAGCCGCGGUAAUACGUAGGUGGCAAGCGUUAUCCGGAAUUAUUGGGCGUAAAGCGCGCGUAGGCGGUUUUUUAAGUCUGAUGUGAAAGCCCACGGCUCAACCGUGGAGGGUCAUUGGAAACUGGAAAACUUGAGUGCAGAAGAGGAAAGUGGAAUUCCAUGUGUAGCGGUGAAAUGCGCAGAGAUAUGGAGGAACACCAGUGGCGAAGGCGACUUUCUGGUCUGUAACUGACGCUGAUGUGCGAAAGCGUGGGGAUCAAACAGGAUUAGAUACCCUGGUAGUCCACGCCGUAAACGAUGAGUGCUAAGUGUUAGGGGGUUUCCGCCCCUUAGUGCUGCAGCUAACGCAUUAAGCACUCCGCCUGGGGAGUACGACCGCAAGGUUGAAACUCAAAGGAAUUGACGGGGACCCGCACAAGCGGUGGAGCAUGGGGGUUUUAUUUCGAACCACGCGG
rnacentral:rRNA from 1 species